rnacentral:rRNA from 1 species
UGGGGAAUUUUGGACAAUGGGCGCAAGCCUGAUCCAGCCAUGCCGCGUGCGGGAAGAAGGCCUUCGGGUUGUAAACCGCUUUUGUCAGGGAAGAAAUCUUCUGAGUUAAUACCUCGGGAGGAUGACGGUACCUGAAGAAUAAGCACCGGCUAACUACGUGCCAGCAGCCGCGGUAAUACGUAGGGUGCAAGCGUUAAUCGGAAUUACUGGGCGUAAAGCGUGCGCAGGCGGUUUUGUAAGACAGAGGUGAAAUCCCCGGGCUCAACCUGGGAAACUGCCUUUGUGACUGCAAGGCUUGAGUGCGGCAGAGGGGGGAUGGAAUUCCGCGUGUAGCAGUGAAAUUGCGUAGAUAUGCGGAGGAACACCGAUGGCGAAAGGCAAAUCCCCCUGGGCCUGCACUGACGCUUCAUGCACGAAAAGCGUGGGGAGCAAAACAGGAUUAGAUACCCUGGUAGUCCACGCCCUAAAACGAUGUCAAC